rnacentral:rRNA from 1 species
CCUACGGGAGGCAGCAGUGAGGAAUAUUGGUCAAUGGACGCAAGUCUGAACCAGCCAUGCCGCGUGCAGGAAGACGGCUCUAUGAGUUGUAAACUGCUUUUGUACGAGGGUAAAUCCCGAUACGUGUAUCGGGUUGAAAGUAUCGUACGAAUAAGGAUCGGCUAACUCCGUGCCAGCAGCCGCGGUAAUACGGAGGAUUCAAGCGUUAUCCGGAUUUAUUGGGUUUAAAGGGUGCGUAGGCGGUUCGAUAAGUUAGAGGUGAAAGCCCCGGGCUCAACUCCGGCACUGCCUCUGAUACUGUCGGGCUAGAGUUUAGUUGCGGUAGGCGGAAUGUAUGGUGUAGCGGUGAAAUGCAUAGAGAUCAGACAGAACACCGAUUGCGAAGGCAGCUUACCAAACUACGACUGACGUUGAGGCACGAAAGCGUGGGGAGCAAACAGGAUUAGAUACCCCGGUAGUC